AUUGAACGCUGGCGGCAGGCCUAACACAUGCAAGUCGAACGAGUGGCGGACGGGUGAGUAAUGUAUGGAAACCUGGCUAAUGGAGGGGGAUAACUACGGGAACCGGUAGCUAAUACCGCGUACCAUCGGAUGAGUCCAGAUGGGAUUAGGUAGUCGGUGGGGUAACGGCUCACCUAGGCGACGAUCCCUAGCUGGUCUGCGAGGAUGACCAGCCACCCUGGAACUGAGACACGGUCCAGACUCCUACGGGAGGCAGCAGUGGGGAAUAUUGCGCAAUGGGAGCAAGCCUGAUGCAGCCAGGCCGCGUGUAGUAAGAAGGCCUUCGGGUUGUAAAGUACUUUCGGUGGGGAGGCGUUACUCGCAGAAGAAGCACCGGCUAACUCCGUGCCAGCAGCCGCGGUAAUUC
rnacentral:rRNA from 1 species